AGAGUUUGAUCAUGGCUCAGGACGAACGCUGGCGGCGUGCUUAAUACAUGCAAGUCGAACGGGGUCCAUCCCUCCUUCGGGAGGGUGAAGACCUAGUGGCGAACGGGUGAGUAACACGUGAGCAACCUGUCCCGAAGACCGGGAUAACACUGGGAAACUGGUGCUAAUACCGGAUGCCCUCACCGGGCCGCAUGACCUGGUGAGGAAAUGAAUUUCGCUUUGGGAGGGGCUCGCGGGCUAUCAGCUUGUUGGUGAGGUAACGGCUCACCAAGGCAGCGACGGCUAGCUGGUCUGAGAGGACGACCAGCCACACUGGGACUGAGACACGGCCCAGACUCCUACGGGAGGCAGCAGUAGGGAAUCUUGCGCAAUGGGCGAAAGCCUGACGCAGCAACGCCGCGUGGGGGAUGAAGGCUCUCGGGUUGUAAACCCCUUUCAGCAGGGACGAAAUUGACGGUACCUGCAGAAGAAGCCCCGGCCAACUACGUGCCAGCAGCCGCGGUAAUACGUAGGGGGCGAGCGUUGUCCGGAUUCAUUGGGCGUAAAGAGCUCGUAGGCGGCUUGGCAAGUCGGAUGUGAAAACUCCAGGCUCAACCUGGAGCCGCCAUUCGAUACUGCUAUGGCUAGAGUCCGGUAGGGGAGUGUGGAAUUCCCGGUGUAGCGGUGAAAUGCGCAGAUAUCGGGAGGAACACCGAUGGCGAAGGCAGCACUCUGGGCCGGUACUGACGCUGAGGAGCGAAAGCGUGGGGAGCGAACAGGAUUAGAUACCCUAGUAGUCC
rnacentral:rRNA from 1 species